GCUGCGAAGCACUGCCACCAAAACUACACACACUUGUCUACUUUACAGAUAUUGCUUAGGCAGCAAAUGCUGCCUAUGGCUUAACCGUAUAAAUUUCUAAACCUAAUCACCAACACGAUAUAAUAUCAAAACUUUCAACAACGGAUCUCUUGGUUCUCGCAACGAUGAAGAACGCAGCGAAUUGCGAUAAGUAUUGUGAAUUGCAGAUUUUCGUGAAUCAUCGAAUCUUUGAACGCACAUUGCGCCCUGUGGUAUUCCACAGGGCAUGCCUGUUUGAGCGUCAUUUCUCCUUCAAGCUUUUCUAGUUUGGACUUGGGCGUGGGGGUACAUACCCUGCCCGAAAUAGUGGGUGGGAGCAGCUUGCUGUAGUUGACGCCAAUGAGUUAGGUUCUGCCAGUUCGUUGGAAAGACUAGGGGAGGUUGUUGCCGAUAACAAGCCCAUAUACCAAAAAAUUGACCUCAAAUCAGGUAGGACUACCCGC
rnacentral:rRNA from 1 species